UGGGGAAUAUUGCACAAUGGGGGAAACCCUGAUGCAGCGACGCCGCGUGAGCGAAGAAGGCCUUCGGGUCGUAAAGCUCUUUUAUAUGGGAAGAUAAUGACGGUACCAUAAGAAAAAGCCCCGGCUAACUACGUGCCAGCAGCCGCGGUAAUACGUAGGGGGCUAGCGUUGUCCGGAAUCACUGGGCGUAAAGGGUUCGCAGGCGGAAAUGCAAGUCAGGUGUAAAAGGCAGUAGCUUAACUACUGUAAGCAUUUGAAACUGCAUAUCUUGAGAAGAGUAGAGGUAAGUGGAAUUUUUAGUGUAGCGGUGAAAUGCGUAGAUAUUAAAAAGAAUACCGGUGGCGAAGGCGACUUACUGGGCUCAUUCUGACGCUGAGGAACGAAAGCGUGGGUAGCAAACAGG
rnacentral:rRNA from 2 species